UGGGGGAAACCCUGAUCCAGCGAUGCCGCGUGGGUGAAGAAGGCCUUCGGGUUGUAAAGCCCUUUAGGUUGGGAAGAAGUGCACCAGUUUAAGAGAUGGGUGUGUUGACGGUACCAACAGAAUAAGCACCGGCAAACUCUGUGCCAGCAGCCGCGGUAAUACAGAGGGUGCAAGCGUUAAUCGGAUUUACUGGGCGUAAAGAGCAUGUAGGUGGUUGAGUGUGUGUGAUGUGAAAGCCCCGGGCUUAACCUGGGAAGUGCAUCGCAAACUGCUCAACUGGAGUCUAGGAGAGGGUGAUGGAAUUUCCGGUGUAGCGGUGAAAUGCGUAGAGAUCGGAAGGAACGUCGAUGGCGAAGGCAGUCACCUGGCCUAAGACUGACACUGAGAUGCGAAAGCGUGGGGAGCGAACAGGAUUAGAUACCCUGGUAGUCCACGCCGUAAACGAUGAGGACUAGAUGUUGGGAGGGCGACCUCUUAGUAUCGAAGCUAACGCGAUAAGCCUUCCGCCUGGGGAGUACGGCCGCAAGGCUAAAACUCAAAGGAAUUGACGGGG
rnacentral:rRNA from 1 species